rnacentral:misc_RNA from 1 species
GAUGAAGAACGCAGCGAAAUGCGAUAAGUAGUGUACAUUGCAGAAGUACCGUGAAUCAUCGAAUCUUUGAACGCAAAUUGCACUCUCUGGUAUUCCGGGGAGUAUGCCUGUUUGAGGGUCGCUUAACAAACCAUCGAUUUCGUUGCUUUUUUUUUUAAAGUGAUGUUUAUCGGAUUUGAGCCGUCUUUUUUUUUAUAUUUAAGUGGCUUAAAAUUGAUUUUUUUGGUACGAUCGAAGCGUAUUUUUAUGAUCAAUUUUUGGUUAAAGAAACGCACACGUACCGUUAUUUAUAUGAUGUAAUACGUUUGACUAUUGGAUUUAGUUCAUUCGUAUACGAUAUCUUUCAAUAUUUGACCUCAAAUCAGGUAAGAACACCCGCUGAACUUAAGCAUAUCAAUAAGCGGAGGA